AAGAGUCAGUGGUCCCAGGAGAGGCCAAGAAGAAAGG
rnacentral:tRNA from 1 species